rnacentral:rRNA from 1 species
UACGGAGGGUGCAAGCGUUAUCCGGAUUCACUGGGUUUAAAGGGUGCGUAGGCGGGUUGGUAAGUCCGUGGUGAAAUCCCCAAGCUUAACUUGGGAACUGCCGUGGAUACUAUCAAUCUUGAAUAUCGUGGAGGUAAGCGGAAUAUGUCAUGUAGCGGUGAAAUGCUUAGAUAUGACAUAGAACACCAAUUGCGUAGGCAGCUUACUACACGAUUAUUGACGCUGAGGCACGAAAGCGUGGGGAGCAAACAGG